rnacentral:lncRNA from 1 species
GGAAGGAGACCUCAAUGAGAUGGAGAUCCAGCUCAGCCACGCCAACCGCAUGGCCGCCGAGGCCCAGAAGCAAGUCAAGAGCCUCCAGAGCUUGUUGAAGGACACCCAGAUUCAGCUGGACGAUGCAGUCCGUGCCAACGACGACCUGAAGGAGAACAUCGCCAUCGUGGAGCGGCGCAACAACCUGCUGCAGGCUGAGCUGGAGGAGUUGCGUGCCGUGGUGGAGCAGACAGAGCGGUCCCGGAAGCUGGCGGAGCAGGAGCUGAUUGAGACUAGUGAGCGGGUGCAGCUGCUGCAUUCCCAGAACACCAGCCUCAUCAACCAGAAGAAGAAGAUGGAUGCUGACCUGUCCCAGCUCCAGACUGAAGUGGAGGAGGCAGUGCAGGAGUGCAGGAAUGCUGAGGAGAAGGCCAAGAAGGCCAUCACGGAUGCCGCCAUGAUGGCAGAGGAGCUGAAGAAGGAGCAGGACACCAGCGCCCACCUGGAGCGCAUGAAGAAGAACAUGGAACAGACCAUUAAGGACCUGCAGCACCGGCUGGACGAAGCCGAGCAGAUCGCCCUCAAGGGCGGCAAGAAGCAGCUGCAGAAGCUGGAAGCGCGGGUGCGGGAGCUGGAGAAUGAGCUGGAGGCCGAGCAGAAGCGCAACGCAGAGUCGGUGAAGGGCAUGAGGAAGAGCGAGCGGCGCAUCAAGGAGCUCACCUACCAGGUGCGACGGGCGGACAGGAAAAACCUGCUGCGGCUGCAGGACCUGGUAGACAAGCUGCAGCUAAAGGUCAAGGCCUACAAGCGCCAGGCCGAGGAGGCGGAGGAGCAAGCCAACACCAACCUGUCCAAGUUCCGCAAGGUGCAGCACGAGCUGGAUGAGGCAGAGGAGCGGGCGGACAUCGCCGAGUCCCAGGUCAACAAGCUGCGGGCCAAGAGCCGUGACAUUGGCACGAAGGGCUUGAAUGAGGAGUAGCUUUGCCACAUCUUGAUCUGCUCAGCCCUGGAGGUGCCAGCAAAGCCCCAUGCUGGAGCCUGUGUAACAGCUCCUUGGGAGGAAGCAGAAUAAAGCAAUUUUCC